rnacentral:rRNA from 1 species
GUGUCGGCAGCCGCGGUAAUACGUAGGGGGCAAGCGUUGUCCGGAAUUAUUGGGCGUAAAGCGCGCGCAGGCGGUCUUUUAAGUCCCGGGUUUAAACGCAGGGCUCAACCUUGUGUCGCCUGGGAAACUGGGAGACUGGAGUGCAGGAGAGGGAAGCGGAAUUCCACGUGUAGCGGUGAAAUGCGUAGAGAUGUGGAGGAACACCAGUGGCGAAGGCGGCUUCCUGGCCUGUAACUGACGCUGAGGCGCGAAAGCGUGGGGAGCAAACAGGAUUAGAUACCCCUGUAGUCC